ACCGGAUCGAGGAUAGCUCACUAGAGUCGGGAUCACAUUUUCAGCCGGAUCCGACAGCCCGUCUCAGAAUGUGAUUGAUAUUAUAGUCAAUUCUAACAUUUUUAAACAUUCUGGACGCGUUCCAGGUGUCAAAAUUGACAUAGGUGAGCCGGGACAGCCUUUCUCCUCCGUCCAGCCGCCGCAGUGACCUCAGUUAAGUCUGUGAGUAAAAUAUUAAUUUUAAUUAUAAUUUCAAUAUUAUUAUAUAUUCAGGCAUGCUCAUGCAUCACUUAUAUGGAGUAGUGUGCGUUCGUUGGCAUGCAUAUGGUAUGGUAUUGGAUAUGAACAGGACGGAUAGACACGGCUUGAGAGACACUCACUAGGACCCGGUCCUUUAUGGAUAAGUCGAGGUAGACACGGCUUGAGAGACACUCGCUGGGACCCCGUAUUUGGUUUAUUAAGCGAAAGUCCGGCUUGAGAGACACUUGCUGGCAGAGGUUAGAUUAAAAGAGCUGUAUAGGAGAUUGGCUCCCAUAUAUGUACUGUUUGAACAGUGUUGGGUGUGUGAAUGCUCCAAAUUGCCUUUUUGCUGUUAUGAUGUGAUGCAUAUAAAAAUUUUGAGAGUGUUGCAUUCCACUCUUUAGGAUGCAUUAGCUUUAGAUAGCUAUAGAAAUUGUACUUAAAAUUGGUAUUUUACUCUCUGAGUCGAAUGCUCACUCCUGUUCACCAUAUUUUUUCCAGAAUAACCUAUUCCUUUCCUCUCAGGUUAUGAAAAAAAAUUACUUAACUAUAUUAUUAUUAUCUAAAUUUGUAAUUUAGAACUCCGCAUGUAUUAGUAAUAGCAUUAAUCCUCUCAUGAACUGCAUGAAUUUAAGCUUUGUAUUAACAAAUAAAAUUUUUUUAUGAGUUUUAAAUAGUUUGUAAAUGAUGUAACAGGAUUGAGCUGGGUUUCCCUAAUUUUAGUUUUUGAUAAUUACUGGGUUAAA